rnacentral:rRNA from 1 species
ACGAACGUUGGCGGCGUGGAUUAGGCAUGCAAGUCGAACGAAGACGGGGGGGCAACUCUCCGGACUGAGUGGCGAAAGGGGCAGUAAUGCGUGGGUAACCUACCCUGAGGACUGGGAUAGCCACCCUAACGGGUGGGUAAUACCGGGCGACGCAGCGAGGGGGCAUCUCCUUGCUGCCAAAUGAAUUUCGCCUUGGGAGGGGCUCACGUGGUAUUAGCUUGUUGGUGAGGUAACGGCUCACCAAGGCUGAGAUGCCUAGCAGGUGUGAGAGCACGACCUGCGCCACUGGCACUGAGACACUGGCCAGACUCCUACGGGAGGCUGCAGUCGAGAAUCUUCGGCAAUGGGCGCAAGCCUGACCGAGCGACGCCGCGUGUGCGACGAAGGCCUUCGGGUUGUAAAGCACUGUCGAGGGGGAGGAAGCCGCAAGGUUGACCUAUCCCUGGAGGAAGGACGGGCUAAGUUCGU